rnacentral:rRNA from 1 species
AGUUUGAUCCUGGCUCAGGAUGAACGCUAGCGGGAGGCCUAACACAUGCAAGCCGAGCGGUAUUUGUCCUUCGGGACAGAGAGAGCGGCGCACGGGUGCGGAACACGUGUGCAACCUGCCUUUAUCAGGGGGAUAGCCUUUCGAAAGGAAGAUUAAUACCCCAUAAUAUAAUUGAUGGCAUCAUUGAUUAUUGAAAGCUCCGGCGGAUAGAGAUGGGCACGCGCAAGAUUAGAUAGUUGGUGAGGUAACGGCUCACCAAGUCAGUGAUCUUUAGGGGGCCUGAGAGGGUGAUCCCCCACACUGGUACUGAGACACGGACCAGACUCCUACGGGAGGCAGCAGUGAGGAAUAUUGGACAAUGGGUGAGAGCCUGAUCCAGCCAUCCCGCGUGAAGGACGACGGCCCUAUGGGUUGUAAACUUCUUUUGUACAGGGAUAAACCUGCCCUCGUGAGGGUAGCUGAAGGUACUGUACGAAUAAGCACCGGCUAACUCCGUGCCAGCAGCCGCGGUAAUACGGAGGGUGCAAGCGUUAUCCGGAUUUAUUGGGUUUAAAGGGUCCGUAGGCGGGCCUGUAAGUCAGUGGUGAAAUCUCGCAGCUUAACUGCGAAACUGCCAUUGAUACUGCAGGUCUUGAGUAAGGUAGAAGUGGCUGGAAUAAGUAGUGUAGCGGUGAAAUGCAUAGAUAUUACUUAGAACACCAAUUGCGAAGGCAGGUCACUAUGUCUUAACUGACGCUGAUGGACGAAA